UUGUUCUGGAACAGGAAGGUUCUUUAGGACUUCGUGGCGGACGGGUGAGUAACGCGUGCCCUUCCUAACUUGUGGGUGGGGAUAACAGAGGGAAACCGCUGCUAAUACCCAAUGUGCCGAAAGGUGAAAGGAGAAAUCCGCCAGAAGAAGAGCUCGCGUCUGAUUAGCUAGUUGGUGAGGUAAGAGCGCACCAAGGCGACGAUCGGUAGCUGGUCUGAGAGGACGAACAGCCACACUGGGACUGAGACACGGCCCAGACUCCUACGGGAGGCAGCAGUGGGGAAUAUUCCGCAAUGGGCGAAAGCCUGACGGAGCAAGACCGCGUGCGGGAGGAAGGCCCUUGGGUGAGAAACCGCUUUUGUCAGGGAAGAAAACAGUGACGGUACCUGACGAAUCAGCCUCGGCUAACUCCGUGCCAGCAGCCGCGGUA
rnacentral:rRNA from 1 species